rnacentral:rRNA from 1 species
CUGGCUCAGGAUGAACGCUAGCUACAGGCUUAACACAUGCAAGUCGCGGGGCAUCAUGGCAUGUAGCAAUACAUGCUGAUGGCGACCGGCGGAUGGGUGAGUAACGCGUAUCCAACCUGGCCCUAUCUCGGGUACAGCCCCUCGAAAGAGGGAUUAAUCCCCGAUGUUCCCUGGGAUCCGCAUGUUUUCCAGGGCAAAGGCAUUUGUCGGAUAGGGAUGGGGAUGCGUUCCAUUAGGCAGUCGGCGGGGUAACGGCCCACCGAGCCGACGAUGGAUAGGGGUUCUGAGAGGAAGGCCCCCCACACUGGGACUGAGACACGGCCCAGACUCCUACGGGAGGCAGCAGUGAGGAAUAUUGGUCAAUGGCGGUAACGCUGAACCAGCCAAGUAGCGUGAGGGAUUACGGCCUAUGGGUUUAAACCUCUUUUGUUAGGGAGCAACCGGUGGCACUAGUGCCAUUCUGCGAGUACCUUUCGAAUAAGCAUCGGCUAACUCCGUGCCAGCAGCGGC